AUGUAUAGCAAUAGCUACUUGCAUCAUUGUAAAAAUGAUGCAGGAUCGACUAUGUCGAAUAAAAUUCUAGGUAGAAUUUUGAUAAUGACAUUGUCUGCCUAUGUGUCUUGACCAAAUUACGUGCCAGCAGUCGCGGUAAUACGUAGAAGACUAGUGUUAUUCAUGUUUAAUCGGUUUAAAGGGUACCUAGACGGUAAAUCAAGCCUAAAAUUAAAUGAAGGGACUAAUUUACUAGAGUUACUUAUGAGGGGGUAUUAAAGUACUGCUGGUGUAGAGAUGAAAUUCUGUCAUACCUCUUUUCUAUAGAAAAAUAAUGGCACAGGUAUAGGCGAAAGCAUCCCCUUAUGUGAUAACUGACGUUGAGGGACGAAGGCUUUGUGUAGCGAACAGGAUUAGAUACCCCAGUAGUCAAAGCAGAAAAUGAUGAAUGUCAUAGAUUAGAUAAAUAAGUUUAUUCUAUAAAUGAAAGUGUAAGCAUUCCACCUCAAGAGUAAUUUGGCAACAUUGGAACUGAAAUCAUUAGACCGUUUCUGAAACCAGUAGUGAAGUAUGUUGUUUAAUUUGAUGAUCCGCAAAAAACCUUACCACAAUUUGAAUAUUUAUAUCUUUUAUUGUUUUUUUUAUUUUUCUUCUCUUCUGAUUUGAUUUUUCUAAAGAAAAAGAGGCGAUAUGAUAUAUUUACAAGCGUUGCACGGCUGUCUUCAGUUAAUGUCGCGAGACUUUGGUUAGUUCCAUUAAAUUAACGUAAACCCUUACUUUAUUUUUAUAUAGAGUAGUUCCCCGCUAUAUUGGAUAUGAUAAC
rnacentral:rRNA from 1 species